CCCUUAGAUGUUCUGGGCCGCACGCGCGCUACACUGAUGCAUUCAACGAGCCUAUCCUUGACCGACAGGUCCGGGUAAUCUUUGAAUCUGCAUCGUGACGGGGAUAGAUUAUUGCAAUUAUUAAUCUUCAACGAGGAAUGCCUAGUAGGCGCAAGUCAUCAGCUUGCGUCGAUUACGUCCCUGCCCUUUGUACACACCGCCCGUCGAUCCUACCGAUUGGGUGUGCUGGUGAAAUGUUCGGAUCGGCCGUUUGUCGCGGUUUCCGCGUCAUGUGGCUGAGAAGUUCAUUAAACCCUCCCACCUAGAGGAAGGAGAAGUCGUAACA
rnacentral:rRNA from 1 species